AUGGAGGCCUGGAGGAAGACAACCAUGUGUUGCUUGAUUCUUUUCUGCCUUAUGGCUACAUGUAGUGAGGUUUCAUCUACCGAAAACAUGUGCUAUCACAACCAUUGGAAUAAAUGCCAUCCUGAUCAAAAUGGAAUGUGUCGAGAUAGUUGUGUGAAAGACGGAUGGGAUGAUGGACAAUGCCGGAACAGGUUUAAAAGACUAAAGGGUGCCAAGUGCGAAUGUUACCCUAAGACUUGUGAUCAUUAG
rnacentral:rRNA from 1 species